rnacentral:misc_RNA from 1 species
UUGUGUUAAGACAUAUUAAAAACAUUUGUUAAAUAGAUUUAAUAUUCAGUAUGAUUCUAAUAAUUUUCUUUUUAUAAUUUUUGUUUUUUAAAAAUUUAUUGUUUCUUUUAAUGCUUAAAUUUUAAAUUCUGAAAAUCUAAAUUCUGAAUCUAACAUAGUUUUUGCAAGUAGAAGGUAAUAUCACGGGGAGCACACAUGGCAUAUCAACAAUAUUUAAUA